rnacentral:lncRNA from 1 species
CUUUCUCCACUUUUAGAGUUUUUUUUAAUGUUUUUUCCACUUUUAGCGUUUUUUCUCCCUUUUAUGUUUUAUUUUAUAAUUAAAAUUGCACUUUUUAUUUUUUAUUUAUUUAUUUUCGAAUUUUUUAUUAUUUUAUUAUUUAUAAUUAUUAUAUUAUUGAUUUUUCAUGAUUUUUAGUCUAAAAAUCAAGGAAAAUCAAUAUAAAAUAAGAAAAAGUCAAAGUUCUUUUACCAUUACAUUUAUCAUAUUUUUUUAUUUUUUUAUAUAUUAAAAUUAAUUUUUAUUUCAAUUUUUUCACAAAGUCAUGAAUCCAUCCAGAUUCAUUGGAUUAACCUUUGAGAAAUAUAUAAAAUCAGGUCAAAUAAAAUCAUUCAAAAACUAUUAAAAAAUUAUUCAAAUCUCA